rnacentral:rRNA from 1 species
GAUAAGCGCUGGCGGCGCACAUAAGACAUGCAAGUUGAACGGACUUAAUCGAAAUAUUUAUAUUUUGAAGCGGUUAGUGGCGGACUGGUGAGUAACGCGUAAGGAACCUGCCUAUUAGAGGGGAAUAACAGUGAGAAAUCAUUGCUAAUACCGCAUAUGCCAUAGAUAUCACAUGAUAACAGUGGGAAAGGAGCAAUCCGCUAAUAGAUGGCCUUGCGUCUGAUUAGAUAGUUGGUGGGGUAACGGCCUACCAAGUCGACGAUCAGUAGCCGGACUGAGAGGUUGAACGGCCACAUUGGGACUGAGAUACGGCCCAGACUCCUACGGGAGGCAGCAGUCGGGAAUAUUGCGCAAUGGAGGAAACUCUGACGCAGUGACGCCGCGUAUAGGAAGAAGGUUUUCGGAUUGUAAACUAUUGUCGUUAGGGAAGAGAAAGGACAGUACCUAAGGAGGAAGCUCCGGCUAACUACGUG